UACGGAGGGUGCAAACGUUGCUCGGAAUCAUUGGGCGUAAAGCGCACGUAGGCGGCCUGUUAAGUCGGAUGUGAAAGCCCCGGGCUCAACCCGGGAAGUGCAUUCGAAACUGACAGGCUUGAAUAUGGAAGAGGGUCGCGGAAUUCCCGGUGUAGAGGUGAAAUUCGUAGAUAUCGGGAGGAACACCAGUGGCGAAGGCGGCGACCUGGGCCAAUAUUGACGCUGAGGUGCGAAAGCGUGGGGAGCAAACAGG
rnacentral:rRNA from 1 species